CUCAAAUUUGUAAUCUGGCGUCCUUCGGGCGUCCGAGUUGUAAUCUAUAGAAGUGUUUUCCGUGCCGGACCAUGUCCAAGUCCCUUGGAACAGGGUAUCAAAGAGGGUGACAAUCCCGUACUUGACAUGACCACCGGUGCUCUGUGAUACACUUUCUACGAGUCGAGUUGUUUGGGAAUGCAGCUCAAAAUGGGUGGUAAAUUCCAUCUAAAGCUAAAUAUUGGCGAGAGACCGAUAGCGAACAAGUACCGUGAGGGAAAGAUGAAAAGCACUUUGGAAAGAGAGUUAAACAGUACGUGAAAUUGUUGAAAGGGAAACGAUUGAAGUCAGUCGUGUUCUUUGGACUCAGCCGGUUCUUCCGGUCUAUUUCCUUUGAACGGGUCAACAUCAGUUUUGUCCGGUGGAUAAAGGCAGGAAGAAAGUGGCUCCCUCGGGAGUGUUAUAGCUUUCUGUCACAUACACUGGAGGAGACUGAGGACUGCAGCUCGCCUUUUGGCCGGGGUUCGCCCACGUUCGAGCUUAGGAUGUUGACAUAAUGGCUUUAAACGAC
rnacentral:rRNA from 1 species